rnacentral:rRNA from 1 species
CUACGGGUUGCACCAGUAAAGAAUCUUUCGCAAUGGGGGAAACCCUGACGAAGCAAUCUCGCGUGAUUGAUGAAGGUCGUAAGAUCGUAAAAAUCUUUUCUGAGGGAAUAAUUCUGAAGGUACCUUAGGAAUAAGCACCGGCUAACUCCGUGCCAGCAGCCGCGGUAAUACGGAGGGUGCAAGCGUUAUCCGGAAUCAUUGGGCGUAAAGCGUCCGCAGGCGGUUUAUUAAGUCAGUUAUUAAAUCAUGUAGCCUAACUAUAUGGCUGUGACUGAAACUGGUAAACUUGAGUCUUUCAGAGGUGCGUAGAAUUCUGUGUGUAGGGGUAAUAGCCGUAGAUACACAGAGGAAUACCAAAAGCGAAGGCAGCGCACUGGGAAAGUACUGACGCUCAUGGACGAAAGCGUAGGUAGCGAACGGGAUUAGAUACCCUUGUAGUC